AACCCUCCUCCAUUACCGAGCAAAACACCAAACCCUGCAAAUUUAAACCCUCCUCCUUUGCCGAGCAAAACACCAUCUUUCGAGGAUCACUCCAGUUCCUCAAGUAUAAAUAAGUUGGGUCAAUUUGCACCUUCCAAUCAGUUUGCACCUCAAUUUGCACCUCCCAAUCAGUUCGCACCUCAAUUUGCACCUCCCAAUCAGUUUGCACCUCAAUUUGCACCUCCCAAUCAGUUCGCACCUCAAUUUGCACCUCCCUAUCAGUUUUCGCCUCAAUUCGGACCUCCUCCAAUACCUUCAAAUCAAAAAGAUUUUGUUCCUCCUGUACAACGUCUUGCAAAUGUGAUUCCCGCUGAUCAAUGUACUUUUGUAUCAAAGCCCACAACAUCAGCGCAGAAAGUGCCACCUGUUGGGAAGGCUCCCCCGCAUCAAACACCUGUCAAACCGCCAGCCUUCCAGCAGAGAAUGCCCAUCAUUCAACAAACCCAGUGCCAACGGCACAACAAAAAUGUGUGAGCAGUUCUGCAGUUAAGUCAAAUGGAACUGCGAAGUCCUCCGUUAAUGCUGCUUCGCAGAAUGUUUCACAGACAGCGAGCAAGGCUAACCAACCGAAGAAGAAACAGACACUAAUUUACAACCACCUGGGCCGUCACGAGUUGAAUCAAAGCUUUUGUCCUCACUGAAAGACGGAUGUUUCAAGAAAUUAAUGUUGAGUCUAAAACAGAAGUACCCCAAGAAAUCUGAUGUUGAAUUAAUUAUUUAUUUGAAAAGUGCCAGAGAAAUGAACGGAGAACAAUUGACUGGAAUGUCUUUCAAUGAAAUCAUAGCCCUAGUCGAUUCUAUGAUAGAGACGCCCAAUUUCAAGUUUCCAAAACUUUCGGGAAGCGGUUCUAAUGGGGCUAAGCCAAGUAAUUUUUUUUUAAAAAGUAUUUUACUCCUAGAAGCAGGUCACGCUUGUUCAGUCAGGACUUUGAAACUUGUAAGUAUGCAAGACCUAUAAAUCUUAUUGACAGACCUGUCCUUUUUGAAUUUGUGAAAUACGAAAGGUUUUGAAAAAAGAUUCAAGCGCAAUGAGUCUGUUGAACGCAAGAGAUGAAGCCAAUUUAAAAGAUUUUCCCCAAUGUAAUAUAGCUUGAAAAUCGCACAUUAAAAUCGUUAGGAAUCCACUCCGUAGCACACAAUCUAUGUAGUUUGCAAUACUUUUUUUCAAUUUACCACGUCUGCGGGCAGUUCUUCUUCAUCGCCGGCAGUCAGGUUUACUGAGUAAGAGAUGCGAAAACCUAAUCUAAA
rnacentral:lncRNA from 1 species